UGGGGAAUAUUGCACAAUGGGCGCAAGCCUGAUGCAGCCAUGCCGCGUGUAUGAAGAAGGCCUUCGGGUUGUAAAGUUCUUUCAGCGGGGAGGAAGGCGUUGAGGUUAAUAAUCCUCAUGCUGAUUGACGUUACCCGCAGAAGAAGCACCGGCUA
rnacentral:rRNA from 1 species